rnacentral:hammerhead_ribozyme from 1 species
AUCCACCUGACGAGUCCCAAAUAAGACGAAUCGUGUCCUGGAU